UAACAUUUUUGAGGAGAGUCAGUGUAACCUCAACUUUCAAAUCAACUGACUGAUUACCAUGAGCAAGCAGCAAUCCUUGCGAAAAUACAACUACAGAAGAAAAUUAAUUAAAAUGAUUUAAAAAGAUCAAUCAUUACAGAAAGAUUCCCACAACCCAUGUUGUAAGCAUACCUAAUUCUAAGAUUAAAUCACAGUUGCACACAUUACUGCUCAGUACCCAUUAAACCACGUGAAGUUCUGAGGGUAUAUUACAAACUGACAUAGUUGGAUUAAGAACACAGUUGCACUCUAAGUUGGGGUAGAGGGGAAGCUCUGCCAUGCAACCAAAGCUCAUAUUAAAUAUGGGGUACAGCCAAUAUUGUCAGUGGUACUUUCUGCACCUACCACGGUGACCACGGGUAACAGGGAACCGGGGUUCGAUUCCGGAGAGGAAGCCUGAGAAACCCCUACCGCUUCCAAGGAAGGGAGCAGGCGCGCAAAUUAUCCACUCCUGACGCGGGGAGGUAUUGACGAAAAAUAACAAUACAGGACUCUUAAGGCCCUGUAACUGGAAUGAGUACACUUUAAAUCCUUUAAGGAGGAUCCAUUUGAGGGCAAGUCUGGUGCCAGCAGCCGCGGUAAUUCCAGCUCCAAUAGCAUAUAUUAAAGUUGCUGCAAUUAAAAAGCUUGUAGGUGAAUCUUGGGAUCGGGCUGGCGAUCUGCUGCGAGGCGUGUCACCGCCUGUCCCAGUCCCUGCCUCUUGGCGCCCCCUUGAUUCUUUUAGCUGAUUGCCCCAUGGGAUCCGAGGAAGAAGAGAAAAAAAAAAAAAAAAAAAAAGAGUUGGAGUGUUCAAAGCAGGCCCGGUUGCCUGAAUACCACAUCUAGGGAUAAUGGAAUAGAAUUCCGGUUUGAUUUUGUGGGUUUCCCACACUGGUACCAUGACCAAGAGGGAUGGCAUUCGUAUUGUGCCACUUGAGGUGAAAUUCUUGGACCGGAGUAAGAUGGAUGGAAGCCAAAGCAUUUGUCAAGAAUGUUUUCAUGAAUCAAGAAUGAAAGUCGGCGAUUCAAAGACGAUCAGGUGCUGUCAUAGCUUCAACAAUAAACGAUGCCAGCCUGCGAUCCAGUGGCGUUAUUCCCAUGACAUGUGCCCAGAAAACUGAAGUGGCCCCAUUUGACACUUCUGCAGCGCAUGUGCCGAUGGCAUGAAACUAGAGCAACACCAUACAAUUGUCAGUCUUAGAAAUUACUGACUAUCACUUAAGAGCCUAUAUUAAAGCAAUAAUCCACAAGUUGUAUGAUGUUUGACAAAGCUACACAAGUUUCUUGUGUUACUGUCACACCCCAGAAGAGCACACGGCAAGAAUUCUGAGCAAGUGUAAAGGAGGCUACUCCACCCCUCCUCCCAGGUUGCG
rnacentral:rRNA from 1 species